rnacentral:rRNA from 1 species
AGAACACCCGAAAUGCCCCUCUCCCGGAGAUCACGGUCGUAAGCCUAAAACNAAAGGGAAUCGAGGGGGGCCCUCACAAGUGGCGGAGCAUGCGGAUUAAUUGGAUGCAACGUGAAGAACCUUACCAAGGCUUGACAUGUGCCAGACCGCUCCAGAGAUGGGGUUUCCUUUCGGGGCUGGUUCACAGGUGGUGCAUGGUUGUCGUCAGCUCGUGUCGUGAGAUGUUGGGUUAAGUCCCGCAACGAGCGCAACCUUCUUUCCAUGUUGCCAGCACGUAGUGGUGGGGACUCACGGGAGACUGCCGGGGUCAACUCGGAGGAAGGUGGGGAUGACGUCAAAUCAUCAUGCCCCUUAUGUCUUGGGCUUCACGCAUGCUACAAUGGCCGGUACAAUGGGUUGCGAUACUGUGAGGUGGAGCUAAUCCCUAAAAGCCGGUCUCAGUUCGGAUUGGGGUCUGCAACUCGACCCCAUGAAGUGGGAGUCGCUAGUAAUCGCAGAUCAGCAACGCUGCGGUGAAUACGUUCCCGGGCCUUGUACACACCGCCCGUCAAGUCACGAAAGUUGGUAACACCCGAAGCCGA